CCCUUAGAUGUCCUGGGCCGCACGCGUGCUACACUUAUGCAUACAGCGAGCACUUCCCGGCCCCGAAAGGCGGCUGGUAAUCAGCAAUAUGCAUCGUGAUGGGGAUAGUUCUUUGGAAUUCUUGAACUUGAACGAGGAAUGCCUAGUAGGCGCACGUCAUUACCGUGCGUCGAUUAAGUCCCUGCCCUUUGUACACACCGCCCGUCGCUCCUACCGAUUCGAGUGAUCCGGUGAACCCUUUGGACCGAGGCAGCUUGCUGUUUUGGAAAAUCGAGUAAACCACGUCACUUAGAGGAAGGAGAAGUCGUAACA
rnacentral:rRNA from 1 species